CUUGGCCCGGCUGCCCGUCCUUUGUCAGACUCCUGCCUGUCUGGAGCUCUGCUCUUUCCACUGAGAAGGGAACUAGUCUGAAAAAUGACUGGUGCAGAGGUGUAGGUGAUUCACAGUGUUAUGGGAGUGCUGUCAAAGUCUUUUAUUAAAAAGCAAUAGUUCAAGGAAAGUAGUCAGCCUGCUAGAGGGAAACUAAAUUUGUCUAACCAUUGGAAGUUAACUUAGAUUUGUACCCAAACUCUUAGGAUUGUACAAAAAUUUUAACCUGGCAAUUAUACCUUUAAAAAUUUAUUCCUAGAUUCACAUUUCGGUGGUAGGUCAUGUGCAAGACCUGGAAUUACAGCCACAGUAAUAGGAAACUAUGCAAUUCAGACAAGGUAGCUUCCAUCCCCAAGGUGACCUCAUGGUCCAAAUGGCUCCUGGAACUCUGGACAUUAUAUCAACAUUCCAGCUAGCAGGAAGAAGAAAGAGAAGAAAGACACACUCCAUCUCCACCAAUUGCACAUACCACCUCCACUUAUGUCCCAUUGGCCAAAACUUUGUCAGCCAAGGCUGGUAAAUUGUCAGCCAAGGCUGGAAUGCCUUGUUCUCUGCUAAUAAUCAGACAUUCUCCUUCUAUGGAAGGAAGAGGCGAGAACUGAAAUUAGGAACAACUGGUGGCUUCUGCCACUGAGAUGUCCUCUGCCAUCCUGUCAUGAGCCAACCUGAGUCUCAUCAAACAUGCAGCAUCUGCUGCGACAGUGUAGGGAAGGUCACCAUGACAAUGGCUUACAACUAGCCAGGUGCUUGGGACCGGUGCAGACAAACACUGCAUGAGAAGAGAAGGGCACGGUUAGGGGCUCCUUAAUAGCACAUUUCCAUUUCUGGCACAGUCCCUGCUGUUGUCACAGGCGUGACCUAUUCUCUCCUCUGCCUAGUGGAGCUGGCCACAAACUGCAAGUUAGCAUCUUUCUCACAGCAGCAAUUUCUUAGGUCCUGCAGGCCCCACUAACUGCAGCAUCCAACCCAUCAGAAAAGCCAGCAAGGAGCAGUGAUGGAUCCUCAUUACACACCCAGGGAAAGACACAGAGGAAGCCACUCUCAAAAUACACCCUUAAGUCACUUCAUUCACCCUGUGAGGUCAUUACCACGGACUGGGAGACCACUAGAUCUGAGAGUAGAAAAGCAUGAUAGGCAAUUUUAGAGCGAAGGAAAAGGAAUGGUAAGAGGUAUAUUCUAAUGAUAACCCUAUUAACAGCUGCCAUUUAGCUAGGGGCUGUGUGACCCAUUGUGGGUGCCAGCCUCCAGCGCAGCCACUGAUGAUCCUGGCUUCCAGAAGCUGGUGCUCUUGUAGAGUCCCCUUUCAUUUUAAAUUAGGAUGGACCUCCCUGACAGACGGAAUACAGUGGAAGUGGUGAUGUGUGACUUCUGAAGCCACAUCACACAACCACUGCUACUUCUGACUCAGACGCUCUGGUGGACCACUGUGGGGGAGGCCAGUCACCAUGCUUGGAGACACUAGCAAUCCUGUGAGAGACCCACAAGGACAGAAACAGAAGUCUCCCACCCAGAACCUGCACCAGCACAGCCACAGAGUGAGCAGCCUUAUAGCCUUCACAUGACCGUGGCCCUGGCAAACAUCUGCAAACUUUCCCUUGAGAUCCUGAACCAGAAACACCCAGCUAAUUCCCAGCCUUCAGAAUCUGUGAGAUAGCUCAGGUUGAUUGUUCUUUAAGCCACUACAUUUUGGGAGUAAUUUGUUAUGCAGUGAUAGAUAACUAAUACAGCCUCUUUAAUUUAUCACAACACUGUUCUGGACUAGGUGUUACUAUCCCCAUUUUACUGACAAAGAAACUGAGAAUUACAUAGGUUAAUUUUUCCAGGGUCAGGGUAACUGGUAGAAGCAAAGCUGGGAGUUUGAUGUAGUUCUGUGCAUUUUUUGGCAGGGCAGUGGUAGUGGUGGUGGGGAGUUGAAACAGGGUCUCACUUUGUAAUUCAGACUAGAAUCGAACCAACUGUGUAACCCAGGCUGGCCUCAAACUCACAGCAAUCCUCCUGCCUCAGCCUCCUAAGUGCUGGGAUUAUAGAUGUGCGCCACCACACCCAGCCUGAUGUGGUUCUGCUUGCACACAAUCUUUCCCCUGAACAACUGCUUACUAUGCUACAUGUUAUAAGGGUCCACUUAGGAUUUCCAGAAUGCCUGGGAGCAGUGAAAAGACAAAUGUCCCUAAAUGAACUGAUUAUAAUGAGGGUUUCGUGCCAGAUUCAAAAUUAUAUAGAACCUACAGGCAACUGUUGACCUGUGCUCCAAAAUCCAAGCCAGUUUGAAACUCAAGUGCCUGGUUGUGUUUUGAGGACAGAGUCAGCUUACCCAGGACUGCCUGGCCACAGAACUCCCAAUGCAGGUACUCGGAGGAAAUAUGGCUUCUCACACCCCAGUAGAGUGAACAGCUGCACAACAAUUGCCUUUCCUGGGGCCUCACAACUUGAUGCUGUUUGUGGGUCCUGUAUUUUAAAGUUGUCUGAGGGCCUGGGACAAAGCUCAGUGGUAGAAUGGUUUCCUUUCAAGCACAAGACCUUAGGUUCAAAUUACAGAGAGCAAGGAUGUGGUCUCUGGCUUCUCAGAAGAAGGAGGGGCUCCAUGGCAAGGAACAUGGGGGUAGGGUUUGUUUGCCCUCAUCCUCUUUUCCCAAGAUGGGUCAGUUUGCAUUUAAUAACUCAGCUGUCUGCCUGUGUGUUGACAGCACCCACUUGUCAGCAAGAGAAUGAGGAAUGCACGUCAGGUAAGGGGCUUCUGAGGUAUCCUCUUGGACUAGCUGAGACUAACAUCUGUCUCAUUCCAGCCAGAGCUGGCACUGCAAGACCCAGCAGCCAUUAGAAGCCUGGUGGAAGUUCCUGUCUUGUCCAGUUGGCUAAGAACCCCAGGGAUGUGGGCAAGACAGAUGCCUGUCCUUGUCCCCCAGGCCUCCACUGCAUUCAUGGUGUUUGUCUGUCCUGGCCACCAUACAGGACCCAAUAAGUAAGUGAGCAAGGAAGAAGGAAACAGCCCCUUCAUUUCUCCUACCAGCUCCCUUAGACUUCUACUCCGUGACAGAUACCAGUACACCUCUGAGCUUAAAAUUUUGGCAUCAGUUUUGACUAUUCCCUCCCUUCAGCUCUUCAAACUGAACAAUUAUCCAGGGUCACUCAAACACUUAAAAUACCCCAGGAUGAUUUCUUCUAUUUAUUUAUUUAUUCUUUGUAUGGUGCUGAGGAUCAACCCAGGCCCCCGUGCAUUCCAGGCAAGUGUUCUACCACUGAGCUAACCCCAGCCCUCUCCAUCUCUACGUUGCUUUUAUAUCAUCACCCAGGUGGGCACCUGCACCCAAAACUCUAGCCCCUUUAGUAGGUCUGAACUACCUACUGCAAGGAUUCCACUUUAUAUUCAUCUAGCUGUCAAGACCCUGAAUACUUAAUUUCUCACAAGUCUUCACUGCCAGUCCUUCUGCACAUGCACACACUUGUCUGUUUUUGCACUGUGCCCUGCACCAUCACCCACUUCUUACUCUGACUACCUCCUUUGCAGGCUUGGUUGUGCUUUGUGGUCCUUUCUUGUUCUGUUUUAACACACCCUAUAUGGAAACCUCGCUCACCUCCUCAGGUACCAGUCCCCAGUGCUCUCUCCUUUCACCAUUUCUCCAGACCAUUCUCUUCAGCACUGGACAAACUACACCUCUGCAUAGGCAGAUUUUCUGGAUCCUGCAUGACUUGUUUUGCCUCUCGGCUUCUGCAUUCUCUUGGGCUCACUCAGCUUCUGACUCACAGGUGGGCCAGUCAGCAUGUAUCCGUGCAGUGCCCUUGCUGGGCUGAGCUCUCACAGCUCUGACUGGCCUGUAGAUCUAUGGGCGGCUGCUUUGGGUCAAGUGUUGAAUGCUGGAGUCAACCUAGCUUCAGCGAGAGACCCAGUCACCUGGCCCAAAGCAUGGGAACCUGUGAUAAAGAACUACUCUGGUGAUCCUCAGAAGGGGCUGAGAAUGGCAGAUACUUGAG
rnacentral:lncRNA from 1 species